AGAGUUUGAUUCUGGCUCAGAACGAACGCUGGCGGCGUGGAUAAGACAUGCAAGUCGAACGGGAGAAUUGCUAGCUUGCUAAUAAUUCUCUAGUGGCGCACGGGUGAGUAACACGUGAGUAACCUGCCCCCAAGAGUGGGAUAGCCCCGGGAAACUGGGAUUAAUACCGCAUAAAAUCGCAAGAUUAAAGCAGCAAUGCGCUUGGGGAUGGGCUCGCGUCCUAUUAGUUAGUUGGUGAGGUAACGGCUCACCAAGGCGAUGACGGGUAGCCGGUCUGAGAGGAUGUCCGGCCACACUGGAACUGAGACACGGUCCAGACACCUACGGGUGGCAGCAGUCGAGAAUCAUUCACAAUGGGGGAAACCCUGAUGGUGCGACGCCGCGUGGGGGAAUGAAGGUCUUCGGAUUGUAAACCCCUGUCAUGUGGGAGCAAAUUAAAAAGAUAGUACCACAAGAGGAAGAGACGGCUAACUCUGUGCCAGCAGCCGCGGUAAUACAGAGGUCUCAAGCGUUGUUCGGAAUCACUGGGCGUAAAGCGUGCGUAGGCGGUUUCGUAAGUCGUGUGUGAAAGGCGGGGGCUCAACCCCCGGACUGCACAUGAUACUGCGAGACUAGAGUAAUGGAGGGGGAACCGGAAUUCUCGGUGUAGCAGUGAAAUGCGUAGAUAUCGAGAGGAACACUCGUGGCGAAGGCGGGUUCCUGGACAUUAACUGACGCUGAGGCACGAAGGCCAGGGGAGCGAAAGGGAUUAGAUACCCCUGUAGUCCUGGCAGUAAACGGUGCACGCUUGGUGUGCGGGGAAUCGACCCCCUGCGUGCCGGAGCUAACGCGUUAAGCGUGCCGCCUGGGGAGUACGGUCGCAAGAUUAAAACUCAAAGAAAUUGACGGGGGCCCGCACAAGCGGUGGAGUAUGUGGUUUAAUUCGAU
rnacentral:rRNA from 1 species